CGGGUGCACUGAUCCAGCCGGGCCUUUCCCUCUGUGGAACCCCAUGGCCUUCACUGGCUGUGGUGGGGAAACAGGACUUUUACUUUGAAAAAAUUAGAGUGCUCCAGGCAGGCCUAUGCUCGAAUACAUUAGCAUGGAAUAAUAGAAUAGGACGUGUGGUUCUAUUUUGUUGGUUUCUAGGACCGCCGUAAUGAUUAAUAGGGACAGUCGGGGGCAUCAGUAUUCAAUUGUCAGAGGUGAAAUUCUUGGAUCUAUUGAAGACUAACUACUGCGAAAGCACUUGCCAAGGAUGUUUUCAUUGAUAAGGAACGAAAGUUAGGGGAUCGAAGACGAUCAGAUACCGUCGUAGUCUUAACUAUAAACUAUGCCGACUAGGGAUCGGACGAUGUUAUUCUUUGACGCGUUCGGCACCUUUCGAGAAAUCAAAGUGCUUGGGCUCCAGGGGGAGUAUGGUCGCAAGGCUGAAACUUAAAGAAAUUGACGGAAGGGCACCACCAGGGGUGGAACCUGCGGCUUAAUUUGACUCAACACGGGGAAACUCACCAGGUCCAGACACAGUGAGGAUUGACAGAUUGAGAGCUCUUUCUUGAUUCUGUGGGUGGUGGUGCAUGGGCCGUUCUUAGUUGGUGGAGUGAUUUGUCUGCUUAAUUGCGAUAACGAACGAGACCUUAACCUGCUAAAUAGCCCGUACUGCUUUGGCAGUUCGCCGGCUUCUUAGAGGGACUAUCGG
rnacentral:rRNA from 1 species